rnacentral:rRNA from 1 species
UACAGAGGUCCCGAGCGUUUGUUCGGAUUCAUUGGGCGUAAAGGGUGCGUAGGCGGCGGGGAAAGUCUGAUGUGAAAUCCUGGGGCUCAACCCUGGAACUGCAUUGGAUACUUCCUUGCUAGAGUACUGGAGAGGAAACUGGAAUUUACGGUGUAGCAGUGAAAUGCGUAGAGAUCGUAAGGAAGACCAGUGGCGAAGGCGGGUCUCUGGACAGUUCCUGACACUGAGGCACGAAGGCCAGGGGAGCAAACGGG